rnacentral:rRNA from 1 species
AGUGAACGCUGGCGGCAGGCUUAACACAUGCAAGUCGAGCGAGCGGCGGACGGGUGAGCAAUGUCUGGGAAACUGCCUGAUGGAGGGGGAUAACUACGGGAAACGGUAGCGAAUACCGCAUACCAUCAGAUGUGCCCAGAUGGGAUUAGCUAGUAGGUGGGGUAAGGGCUCACCUAGGCGACGAGCCCUAGCUGGUCUGAGAGGAUGACCAGCCAGACUGGAACUGAGACACGGUCCAUACUCCUACGGGAGGCAGCAGUGGGGAAUAUUGCACAAUGGGCGCAAGCCUGAUGCAGCCAUGCCGCGUGUGUGCAGAAGGCCUUCGGGUUGUAGAGCACUUUCAGCGAGGAGGCGUUACUCGCAGAAGAAGCACCGGCUCACUCCGUGCCAGCAGCCGCGGUAAUUC